rnacentral:rRNA from 1 species
GAUGAACGCUAGCGGCAGGCCUAACACAUGCAAGUCGAGGGGUAGUUACUUUCGGGUAAUGAGACCGGCGCACGGGUGCGUAACGCGUAUGCAAUCUACCUUUUACAGGGGAAUAGCCCAGAGAAAUUUGGAUUAAUGCCCCAUAGUAUGUAUGAAUCGCAUGGUUUAUACAUUAAAGUUCCAACGGUAAAAGAUGAGCAUGCGUCCCAUUAGUUAGUUGGUAAGGUAACGGCUUACCAAGACGAUGAUGGGUAGGGGUCCUGAGAGGGGAGAUCCCCCCACACUGGUACUGAGACACGGACCAGACUCCUACGGGAGGCAGCAGUGAGGAAUAUUGGACAAUGGGCGCAAGCCUGAUCCAGCCAUGCCGCGUGCAGGAAGAAGCAUCUAUGGUGUGUAAACUGCUUUUGUACAGGAAGAAACACUCCCUCGUGAGGGAGUUUGACGGUACUGUAAGAAUAAGGAUCGGCUAACUCCGUGCCAGCAGCCGCGGUAAAGUACAGUG